rnacentral:rRNA from 1 species
CCUACGGGAGGCAGCAGUGGGGAAUAUUGCACAAUGGGGGCAACCCUGAUGCAGCGACGCCGCGUGAGUGAAGAAGUAUUUCGGUAUGUAAAGCUCUAUCAGCAGGGAAGAAAAUGAUGGUACCUGAUUAAGAAGCCCUGGCUAACUACGUGCCAGCAGCCGCGGUAAUACGUAGGGGGCAAGCGUUAUCCGGAUUUACUGGGUGUAAAGGGAGCGUAGGCGGCAGCACAAGUCUGGAGUGAAAUGCCGGGGCUUAACCCCGGAACUGCAUUGGAUACUGUGCAGCUAGAGUGCAGGAGAGGGGGGUAGAAUUCCUGGUGUAGCGGUGAAAUGCGUAGAGAUUUGGAGGAACACCAGUGGCGAAGGCGGCCUCCUGGAC